UGCCAGCCGCCGCGGUAAUACGGAGGGUGCGAGCGUUGUCCGGAUUUAUUGGGUUUAAAGGGUGCGUAGGCGGGAUCUUAAGUCAGUGGUGAAAUACUUCGGCUCAACCGGAGAGGUGCCAUUGAAACUGGGAUUCUUGAGUACAGACGAGGUAGGCGGAAUUUAUGGUGUAGCGGUGAAAUGCGUAGAGAUCGGAAGGAACACCAGUGGCGAAGGCGGCUUCCUGGCUAAACAUUGACGCUGAGGUGCGAAAGCGUGGGUAGCGAACAGGAUUAGAUA
rnacentral:rRNA from 1 species